rnacentral:rRNA from 1 species
AUUGAACGCUGGCGGCAGGCCUAACACAUGCAAGUCGAACGAGUGGCGGACGGGUGAGUAAUGUCUGGGAAACUGCCUGAUGGAGGGGGAUAACUACUGGAAACGGUAGCUAAUACCGCAUACCCUCAGAUGUGCCCAGAUGGGGUUAGCUUGUUGGUGGGGUAACGGCUCACCAAGGCGACGAUCCCUAGCUGGUCUGAGAGGAUGACCGUCCAAACUGGAACUAAGACACGGUCCAGACUCCUAAGGGAGGCAGCAGUGAGGAAUAUGACACGAUGGGCGCAAGCCUGAUGCAGCCAUGCCACGUGUAUGAAGAAGGCCUUCGGGUUGGAAAGUACUUUCAGCGGGGAGGCGUUACCCGCAGAAGAAGCACCGGCUAACUCCGUGCCAGCCGCCGCGGUAAUAC